rnacentral:misc_RNA from 1 species
AUAUCUAUUCAUUUAGUUAAACAAUAAAAUGAAACCUCACAAUGAUCAUAAUAAAAUUGUCUCAUUAAUAAUUUUUUCAUUCUUGAUCAUGAUGAAUUUUACCAUAUUUAUAGUGAAAUUCAAUUCACCAAUCAGUAUCAUAUUCUUUCAACUUCAAAGAAGCCAAUUCUACCUUCUCUUCUCCAUCAAUCUCAUGAAAAUGAAGAUAAGUUUCAAGAUCAAAUAACCUCUUGAUACAGUCUUUCUUAUAAGAAUCAUUAUUACAAUAAAAUGUGUUCAAUAUUAGGAACA